rnacentral:lncRNA from 1 species
GAAACUUGAAUGUACAUUAAAUAUUUGGUGAAAAAUAUAAAAUCAUAAAUAGAUAAUACUUACUUUACAAAUCUAAAAUAUUUGAGAAGUGAGUAGGUGUGAGUCGUCUUUCUUAAUAUUAUGAACUUUUAAUAAAUCUAAAAUCGUAAAAUAUGGGGAUAAAAAUUCAAAAAGUGGUAAAUAAAGGAGGCUAAAAUAUGUGUUUGUUCACUAUAAUGAAAUCGGUUUUGUAUUUGAUAGUGAGUGAUCAAAUUUGGGAUGAACUGAUCAAUCUUAUGGUGUAAAGCUUCACAUCAAAGAUCACGAGGCUUAUUUUGAUUCAUUCAUUGUUGUUGUCUCCAUCAGCUGCAACUCUUUUAUCAGCAUCCUUAAGGAAGAAUUGGAUGCUUUCCAGUUCAACUUUAAAGUCUGAAAAUUCCCUAUGAACACCUUUGAGCAGUUUGACUUCUCUUGUUAAAAGUGAAAGCAGCUGGUCAAUACCAAAAGACACUGCCAUUUCUGUUUUGUGAGAUGAAGAUUUGUUAAGUGCAACUUUUACAGUGAGAGGAAGAUGUUGAGUUUCUCCUCCUCACCUUUAUCACAAAGAAAAGAAAAAGGCUAGCAAAUUUUAAGCAUAAUAUGCACAACAAUUAUUUUCGUUGACGCGGGCCUUUUUAUUCCC